GAUGAACGCUGGCGGCGUGCCUAAUACAUGCAAGUCGAGCGAACGGACGAGAAGCUUGCUUCUCUGAUGUUAGCGGCGGACGGGUGAGUAACACGUGGAUAACCUACCUAUAAGACUGGGAUAACUUCGGGAAACCGGAGCUAAUACCGGAUAAUAUUUUGAACCGCAUGGUUCAAAAGUGAAAGACGGUCUUGCUGUCACUUAUAGAUGGAUCCGCGCUGCAUUAGCUAGUUGGUAAGGUAACGGCUUACCAAGGCAACGAUGCAUAGCCGACCUGAGAGGGGGAUCGGCCACACUGGAGCUGAGACACGGUCCAGACGCCUGCGGGAGGCAGCAGUAGGGAAUCUUCCGCAAUGGGCGAAAGCCUGACGGAGCAACGCCGCGUGAGUGAUGAAGGUCUUCGGAUCGUAAAACUCUGUUAUUAGGGAAGAACAUAUGUGUAAGUAACUGUGCACAUCUUGACGGUACCUAAUCAGAAAGCCACGGCUAACUACGUG
rnacentral:rRNA from 1 species